GUAGUCUCGCACAGAUGCAUAUCAAUAAGCGGAGGAAAAGAAACUAACAAGGAUUCCCCUAGUAACGGCGAGUGAAGCGGGAAGAGCUCAAAUUUGAAAUCUUAAAGGGUUUCCCUUUACGAAUUGUAGUUUAAAGAAGUGUUUUCUGUUGAGGUUUUGGUAAAAGUUCUUAUGGAAUAGGACAUCAUAGAGGGUGAGAAUCCCGUAUUUGACCUUUACUUUCAACUUUGUGAUACACUUUCAAAGAGUCGGAUUGUUUGGGAAUGCAGUCCAAAAUGGGUGGUAAAUUUCAUCUAAAGCUAAAUAUUGGCGAGAGACCGAUAGCGAACAAGUACCGUGAGGGAAAGAUGAAAAGAACUUUGAAAAGAGAGUUAAACAGUACGUGAAAUUGUCAAAAGGGAAGCGUUUGACACCAGUGUUGCUUUUCUGAAAAUCAAUUAAAGAACUGUUUAUGCUAAGUUGUUUAGACUUUAUCAGCUAUCUGUUUAGUUUUGAGCUUUUCUUUAAUGCACUUUUCAGUUAACAAGUCAACAUCAAUUUCUUUUGCUGUAAAAAAGCUUGAGGAAGGUGGCUUGAGAUUCGUCUUAAGUGUUUAUAGCCUCUUGCCUAUGCAGUCGGAGAGAUUGAGGUCUGCAGCGUAGAUCCUUCGGGGCUAAAUGCAUUUGUGCUAAGUUAUAACAUUUUAUAGACAACUUGUUGACUAUGAUUUGUCUUGUAGCUUACUCGCUUAUGUUAUUUUACCUACGCUUAGGAUGUUGAGCGCAUGUCUCUCUCU
rnacentral:rRNA from 1 species